rnacentral:lncRNA from 1 species
CAACUGGAUGUUUCUACAAGAAGCAGUGUCGGUUGCUUUUCUGGAAGGCACUUGGUUUUUUUAUUUAAAAUGUACAACCUUUUUCUAUUGGCAUCUAAGAAAAACACUUAUGAGGAAGUCCCAACCAAAAUCUAAGUUUCCCAUGAUUUUCCUAUAUUUGAAUUUCUCCAAAUAACAAAUGUUGGGAUUAUACGACAAGAAGGAUGCGGCAGAGAGCUGAAGAAAAAAAGCAUCUGUAUUUCUCUCUGUGAGCUUCAAAACCCAGAUCCAGAAUAAACCCUACCCUAGUUUCAAAGUUUCAACCGCCGCCCUUUGCUUUUGCUUAGGAUAUGCGAUAACCCGCUACUCCCUCCUUUAUCUCCUCUUUCCUUCCCUUCUCCUUUGCCGUUUCCCUAUUUUCCUACCGUCUCAUCUCCUCUGCCCCUUCCCCCUCACAGCAUCCCACCUCAUCUUCCUUCCCCCUUUCCAGUUUUCUUCCUUCCUUUUCUAUUUCGGUCCUCCCUUAAGAUAUCUCAUUUUUCUUUCAGUUUGGUCUCAAUUAUCCCCUGAGCUUGUCUCAGAUUUGGACUUCAUGCCUCUUAUCUAGUGUUUUUUUUUACUACGUUUACUGUUUUCUGCCAUUUACUUUUCCUUCCUCCCUCUUCCUUAGCCAUGAUAUUUCAUCACCACCUCAUCAUGUGCUCCAAUCGGCAAGCUCAGAUAAAAAAUUGGAUAUUAGAUCCACUUCCCUACCUCACUUCCCUUCCCCAACCGGUAUGUCGGAUCCUCACCGAAGCCAAAGUGUUUUGUGGCCUCCACCACAAUAAGGGUAUUUUACGUACCCCCUUAGUCUCAUUUUUAACUAUUAGAUAUUUUCUUUGUAUAUAUUUGCAGGGGUUCGUGAUGGGACUUAAGAUCUGGUGUCUACUUUCUCGGUUCAGAGUUUGGCUUCCUCCAAAUACGUGAUGGCGGCAUUAGUCUGGUUUAAUUAUGCUGUUUGAGAUUAGAGUUUUUUGUUGUCUGUUGUUGUUUACAUGACUAUUUUUGGGCCUUUUACUUUAUCUGUUGUUGUUUACUUGACUUUUUUUGGACCUUGUACUAGUUUUUAAUGGAAGUAAUCUUGUUUGACAAAAAAAAAUUAAAAAAUAAAAAAAAUCAAAUGUUGAGUUUUAGUUAAAGAAGAAAG